rnacentral:lncRNA from 1 species
GAUUAUCAAUUUUUUAUAUAAACCCUCUAAUAAGUAUGCUAAAUAAACAAACACAACACAUUGAUCUAAUUAAGAGACAUUGUCUAAAGUGUGCUAAAGGGACAAACACAAUACAUUUUUCUAAUAAUUUGAAUGAGUUUAAUACACUAUAAAGUGAUCAAAUCCGAUUCUAGUUGUUGCAUGAAAAGAGAAAAAAGAUAUGGCUAAAACUCUCCAAUUUAUUUGUGCUUUGAUUUUAUUUCUUUUCC